rnacentral:rRNA from 1 species
CCUACGGGUGGCAGCAGUCGAGAAUCAUUCACAAUGGGGGAAACCCUGAUGGUGCGACGCCGCGUGGGGGAAUGAAGGUCUUCGGAUUGUAAACCCCUGUCAUGUGGGAGCAAAUUAAAAAGAUAGUACCACAAGAGGAAGAGACGGCUAACUCUGUGCAAGCAGUCGCGGUAAUACAGAGGUCUCAAGCGUUGUUCGGAAUCAAUGGGCGUAAAGCGUGCGUAGGCUGUUUCGUAAGUCGUGGGUGAAAGGCGCGGGCUCAACCCGCGGACGGCACAUGAUACUGCGGGACUAGAGUACUGGAGGGGGAACCGGAAUUCUCGGUGUAGCAGUGAAAUGCGUAGAUAUCGAGAGGAACACUCGUGGCGAAGGCGGGUUCCUGGACAUUAACUGACGCUGAGGCACGAAGGCCAGGGGAGCGAAAGGGAUUAGAUACCCCGGUAGUC